AGGUACUUAAUAAAGUUCGACAUUGUUGGACAUCAAGAUCUCGUAGAACUGACUCUCCCUACCACAACUGUCUCGAGAUAUUUUUCUUGAUGGUGCUAUGUCUCCCAAAUUACGCAGUUCUCGUGUUAUUUCAUGUAAAUAUUGCAGUGAGAACUUAUUAAGAAAGGUGAUCCUUUCCGAAAGAGUCCCUCUAAAUUACCUUAGAUUGAAAACUUCUGAUGAUGAAUCUGGAAACUCCCUCCCUGCACAAAAAAGUAACAGAUUAAAGGAAGAAGCCAUUGGUGUUCUUGCAUAAGGUUACUUACAUAUGUUUCAAUCAUUCAUGUGUCACAACUCAGCAUUAUACUUUUUCUUGUUUCUAUUUUGCCUGUUACAAAUAUAUCUUAGUUUAUUUAUUAUGUAUGCUAAAAAAAUUUUAGGCAUGACAUGGCUAGAAUGCGGGUUUCCGAGGACAUGACCCUUGAGAGGAAAGUAUGGAGGUGUAGUAUCAGGGUUGUAGGAUAGGGCCCUAGAGUUCUCCGUACUCCUCACCCGGGGUUGGGUGAGGCUAGGCAGGGCUAUCCAUAGAUGACUUGUGUUUUGGAUUGUGCCUCCCUUAGGGUAGUUAUUUAUGGUAGUUACUGUAUGAUAUUAUUGCAUACUAUUUUAUUUAUGGUUCUUAUAAUUACCUUAGAUUGAAAAGUUCUUCUGAUGAAUCUGGAGACUCCCUCCCUUCACAAAAAAGUAAGAGAUUAAAGGAAGAAGCAGUUGGUGUUCUUGCAUAAGGUUAUUUACAUAUGUUUUAAUCAUUCAUGUGUUGCAACUCAGCAUUAUAUUUUUUCUUGUUUCUAUUUUUGCCUGUUUCACAUAUAUCGUAGUUUAUUUAUUAUGUGUGCUAAAAAAUUUGGCAUUUUACUGCUAGUAGG
rnacentral:lncRNA from 1 species